GGGGCAUAAGCUUUGUUGGCGAAGCACCAGACUUUUAAUCUGGGGAGCGGAGUUCGAUUCUCCGAUGCCCUA
rnacentral:tRNA from 1 species